ensembl:lncRNA
AUAUCACUGGAGAUUCCCAUGUACCUGAGGCCUUCUGAGUGGCAACAGUUCCCUUCUUGAUUGGAGUGGCAAACUGGAGCCCCAGGGGUCUUUGUAGUCUGAGCUGCGAGCCAAGGAUGUAUCACAUGCUGGUGGCAUGCUCUCCUCUUGAAGCUGGCUGUGUUAACACCUCUGCACCACAGGACAACAAGGGUUUCCUCUGCACCUGCAUGGCUUUGAGGAACUCACUUUUGCGUACUGCUAUUGGAUGCUUUGGAGAGCUCAGUGUAAAAUCAAAGCAAGAUGGGACUUGCUCCAGGUUUGAAAUCCUGAGUCUUUUUCAACUUCUAGAAGGAAUGGCCGUAUGGCUUGUGGGCCUUCAAGAGUCAGCUGUGUGCAGCGCUGCUGUCUGCAGCAGAAGAGGCGUCUGGCAUCCCUGCAUUUGUAUUGUGCUGUACAUAUCAGAGGAAUGCUGGGAUGACACACUUCAAAAUCCUUUCUGGGAAACUGUGAACAUCUAGGGGAAACAAGCAGCCUGUUCCUCCUUUUCUCUCUCCAUUUUUUUUUUUUCUCUCCAUGCUCUCUGUUGUUUCUUUUCACCCCUUUCUUCCAUGUCUCUUCUCUUUCCAUUCUCCUCCUCUGAGCUGUCUGAGCAGAUCACAAGCUGACUGGAUCCCCUCCUGCUGCUCCUGCACUGAUUGUUACAAAAGCAAGAAGUAGCCCCAUGGUGAGAUCAUCAGAAGCCACUUUAUUUGCCAGAGGUGUAUUACUGUGGAGUAUCAAGGAAGCAGAAGUUUAUUUGAAGGAGCUAAGUGUAAACAUCAUCUUAUAGAUACCAACUCAGACACUGCUUGGGCUUGUUGAUUUCUAAUGAAAAAGGUGAAACUCCACAGUUGAAGAAGCUCGUUUAACCAUGGGCUGUGUGAGGAUCUGCUGUCAACCCCUCCUAAUAUUUUCUGAAACUAUCCAUCAAUUUCAAAAAUAUUUGAUGGAGUGACAGGGUCUCAAAGAUACGAUUCCUGUAAGAUUCACAACAAUAGAUGGACAAUAAAAUCCCUCCUUCUGUCUGAGGUGAAGCAAAUUGUCAUGGAGUCAGUUCUCAUUUGACUCUUGGGAACCCAUGUAGACUUUGUCAGUGCCUAGGUAAUGGGAAUGCUUCUACCAAAGCUUGUACCUUCCCUAUCCUCAGGGAAUUUGGUCAAGCUCCAGAUAUAGAUAGGGCUGCCUGUUAUUCUUGUUAUUAUGCAAAUUUCAAUAAAACUGGGCAAUUUCCAAAAGAAAUCAAUACAAUUUGCCAGGAGACUUUAUGGGCCUCUGCAGAAAAUCUGUAGCAGUAAUGGAUAGGAAGAGAGAGGGCCAACUCAUUAGCAAGAAGAGAGAGUUUGAAUGGGAAUGAGGGCAGUGACAAGGGAAAGACUGGAAUAUGGCAAUUAAACAUUUCAACUUGCUUUGAAAGUCAAAGUAAUGGUCUGAGGCGGAGUGGUGCUUUAGUGUUACUAGGUGUAAGAAGAAAACAGUGAAGUCUUUUCAAGGUUUAGAGGCAAUUAGAUCCAAGGCAGUGGUCAGGGAAUAGCAUUUUGGUCCAAAGGAAAUGCUGACAUCUGUUCCCAUCCUGAACAAGGAAGAUAAGUCCUCAAAGUGACGUGGAGGAAGGAAAGUCCCUGCCAAGGCUCCGUGUGGGCAUGGCAGAUUGGUUGCAUCCUGCUGGAAACAGCGCACUGGAGGAGAUGCCAAAAGAAAAUGGGAAUAUUCUUUGCUUUUGUCACUACAUUGUUCAGACAGAACGAGGGGGAGGUCAGUGCAGAAAAACCUCGGAGAGAACUGGGAAAUCAUUUCUAGUUUCCUAAAACUUGAAAAAAAAGGAAGUACAAGAUGAAAACUGACCUAAUUUACCUAUUUGCAUCUUAUCUCAUCCUGACUUUACAAAAUCUCGUCUAAGAGAGUGGCUCUAACUUGGUUUUCUUGUCCUGCUCACUAAAAAAGAGUAAACAUUUACAGAAUUGUUCUGGAAACCUGACCAGAAAUUGCUGAUGAACCAGCAUAAAAAUGGGGGAAACUGAAUAAACAUAAAAUAGCUGUGUUAAGUGUUUGACUCCGAAGGGCCAUAAAAUCUAUUUUGGAAAGUUCAGUUGAACAUUUAAGCACCAGGGUACUUUAAGUAACGCAGUUCUUUUACAGGCAUUUUAAAGGAGCCUUAAAAAGAGCGGGAGGAUUGCUUAAAUUGCUAAAAAUCUCUAGGAUGUAAUGCACUGACUCUCUCCUAUGCCAACUUAGGCACCCACUAUUACCAUUGCAGCACUAAGCUUCUUUCCAGCUUAAAUGAGAAGGUAGAGGUUCAUCCAUGGCUGAUGGAUAACACAAAAGCAAGCUGGCUAAUGGUCUCCAGAGAAAUCUGUCUGAGGUGUGGGAUGACGACUCUGUAGCCCAUAACUUUAUAUAUACAGAAACAUGCAAUUCUGACUGAAGAAUGAAGAUAACAUGACAACCCUUUUGCUUUUCUCACUUAAAUUUUCAGUUCUCACUCAUCCUUCACUCCUUGAAGAGAGAUAUAUGUAUUUACAGAAAAAAAUAUGGCCCUUAAUUGGAACAGCUCAGCUAGUGAUAGUAAAUGUGAUAGCUGCAC